UCUACCUGCCUCAGCCUCCCAAAGUGCUGAGAUUACAGGCCUGAGCCACCAUGCCCAGCCUCAGCUUGGUGCUUGCUAAGAUGAACCAAAACAGGCAAUUAAGGACCAAAACAGGAUAGGAGAAAGGUCCGUUCUAAAUGUUAACUCACUGUUGUCAUUCACCAGACUGUUGAUGCCUAAUUAAUCACCGAUUGCAUCACCUGAUGACAGCUGAGAGUCAAAGAUGUCAUUUGAUCUAGAGAUAAUCUACUUAUGCGCUGGAGUGUGGGUAGGGGUAAGCCCGAGUGAAUGGGCACAUGCACCAGAUAGAGAGGCAGAUGGAGCCCAAGCAUCUGAGACAGUCGUAAGCUUGGGGAGGGAACCUGAAGACGAGGAGCACAUGUGCGACCUUAUCCAUCCACUCUAGCAUGUACUUGAAGGAUGAGGCUUACAAACUACCGCAAUAAAAUGUCAUUGUCUAAGAUGCAGCAAUUGACAUAUAACUAUUCUUGUAGGCAAUUACCAAAACACAAAAUGCCAGGGAAAAUGAAAAAAUUCUGAAAAAGAAGAGCCUAUUACAACAAGAUAUGUGGUAAACAGACAAGAAUGACAGCUCUUUUGAAACAGCAGCCCAUGGAGUCAACUGGGAAGCAUAUUUCUGACUCCGCACACAGUGUCUUUGGGGCCACGCCAAACGCAGAACUGGAUCCUGGGCUCUGUUAUGUCCUUCCUUCUGAAAUAUGUUUUCUUAGUGAGUCUUUGAGGACAACGCAGGGGUGCAGGUCACAGCAAGCGUGUGCUGGGAAGAGAGCCACCGUGGUCUGAGGAGUUGCAGUGUUGAUUCCACUUGGAAACGUGAGGAUGCUGAGCUCAUUCACGAGGGAAUCUCAGGGCCCUUUGUGGUUGCAAAACUAAAAAUAAAAAAUUGCAUUUAUGCAUGGACGUUGCUGAAAAA